rnacentral:misc_RNA from 1 species
GAACGUUCUACUCUGAUGAAAACACUAACGACUCUCUAGUCAAAAGAAUCAAAUGGCCUGGCGUUUGAUGGUUAGCUUCUCCUUCUCCUGUCACCCCGCCUCUCAUUCACACCAUCAGCACGACCACGAUAACCAGAAUAAUGCUCAGGAUUACGCGAUGUAGACCAAUCAGGUCCGUCACCCUGCCUCUCAUUCACACCAUCAGCAUGACCACGAUAACCAGAAUAAUGCCAAGGAUUACUCGAUGCAGACCAAUCAGAUCUGUAGCAGUCUCUCAUAUUCAUCUGAGGUUCUGCAUAGUUCCAUCUUGCUACCUGUUCCUGACGCCUGACAGGUCUAUUAUCAGGCCUCCAAGAUUCAAACCCAGCUCCCUCGGCAUAGUUGGUGUUUCCUCUCCACGUAGCCUGUUGUAAUCCUGGUUCUACAUGCCCGGCAACAUGUGGAUUGUAACGAUUAGGAAUGGCAUUUUCUUG